UACGUAGGGGGCUAGCGUUAUCCGGAAUUACUGGGCGUAAAGGGUGCGUAGGUGGUUUCUUAAGUCAGAGGUGAAAGGCUACGGCUCAACCGUAGUAAGCCUUUGAAACUGGGAAACUUGAGUGCAGGAGAGGAGAGUGGAAUUCCUAGUGUAGCGGUGAAAUGCGUAGAUAUUAGGAGGAACACCAGUUGCGAAGGCGGCUCUCUGGACUGUAACUGACACUGAGGCACGAAAGCGUGGGGAUCAAACAGGAUUAGAUACCCUGGUAGUCCAGCGGG
rnacentral:rRNA from 1 species